rnacentral:rRNA from 1 species
UGAGUACGAGAUGCUACGGCAUCGAAGCAGUCUAUGUCAUACUUCCAAGAAAAGCUUGCACUGUCAUAAACAAAGAAUGCCUGUACCAUAACCGACACAGGUGGGUAGGUAGAGUAUACUAAGGGGCGCGAGAUAACUCUCUCUAAGGAACUCGGCAAAAUGACUCCGUAACUUCGGGAGAAGGAGUGCCUUAUUUCUAAGGUUGCAAUAACAAGAUCCAAGCAACUGUUUACCAAAAACACAGGUCUCCGCUAAGUCGUAAGACGAUGUAUGGGGGCUGACGCCUGCCCAGUGCCAGAAGGUUAAAGAAGUUGGUUAGCAUUAGCGAAGCUGAUAACUGAAGCCCUGGUGAACGGCGGCCGUAACGAUAACGGUCCUAAGGUAGCGAAAUUCCUUGUCGGGUAAGUUCCGACCCGCACGAAAGGCGUAAUGAUUUGGAUACUGUCUCGGAGAGGGGCUCGGUGAAAUAGACUUGUCUGUGAAGAUGCGGACUACCUGCACCUGGACAGAAAGACCCUAUGAAGCUUUACUGUAACUUGAGAUUGAAAUUGGACUUUAUUUGCGCAGUAUAGGUGGGAGGCGUUGAGAAUAAUCUUGCGGGAUUGUUGGAGCCAUCAGUGAGAUACCACUCUUGUAAUGUUAGAUUUCUAACUUUGUAUCAUUAUCUGGUCAAAGAACAGUUUCAGGCGGGCAGUUUGACUGGGGCGGUCGCCUCCCAAAGGGUAACGGAGGCGCACAAAGGUUUCCUCUGAACGGGUAGAAAUCGUAUCUAGAGUGUAAAGGCAUAAGGAAGCUUGACUGUUAGACCUACAAGUCGAGCAGGGACGAAAGUCGGUCUUAGUGAUCUGACGGUGCUGAGUGGAAAGGCCGCCACUCAACGGAUAAAAGUUACUCUAAGGAUAACAGGCUGAUCUCCCCCAAGAGUUCACAUCGACGGGGAGGUUUGGCACCUCGAUGUCGGCUCAUCGCAUCCUGGGGCGGUAGUCCGUCCCAAGGGUUGGGCUGUUCGCCCAUGAAAGCGGUACGCGAGCUGGGUUCAGAACGUCGUGAGACAGUUCGGUCCAUAUCCGGUGUAGGCGUUAGAAUAUUGAGAGGAGCCUUCUCUAGUACGAGAGGACCGAGAAGGACAUACCUCUGGUGUACCAGUUAUCGUGCCAACGGUAAACGCUGGGUAGCUAUGUAUGGAGUGGAUAACCGCUGAAAGCAUCUAAGUGGGAAGCCCACCUCAAGAUAAGUAUUCUCAUCA